UGUUAGCUCAGGUGCCAAACUUUAAAAAAAAAGUCAUGACAAUACUAUUUUAACAAAAAAUUAUGAUUUAAAAACUGAGGAGCUGAGGGUAUAAGAGAGCUAAAUCUUUGUCUUGAUGGUAGGAAAUCAGUGGAUGGUAUUAAAAAUUGAAAUAAUCAAGAAAGAGAAACACGGAGUUAAAUAUUAGAAGACACAGUUAAGAGAAACAAAAGUGAUAGCUGCUGAGGGAAUGAAGAUUAAAGUUGAGAGGGGCUGGGAAGGGCCAAUUUUUGGACCCAGCAUUAUAGAAUACUCUACUUUCUUGAGCUAUGUACACGUAUGACUUUGAUAAAAAUUAAAAUUAAAUGCCACUUUAAAAAAUGGCUUAUUAGAUUUUCAAGAUUCCUCCCCACUCUCACAUUCUCCCCAUUCUACUUUCUUUACUCUAAUAUGCUUCUCACAUCCCCUGGUCUUCUCUUUUCUUCUUUUCUCUGACUCCUCUUCCAAUUUAGAUAUUGUAGAAAUGCAGAAGGCACUGUUUUUACUUUGCAAAUGAUAAGAAGUGUGGACUAACUACAUAGUCCAUUAGCUGCAGGCAGUACCAAGGGUGGGGCCGUUGGAGGCCUCCACGGUGGGCAGAGAAGGAGGUCAUUGACUGUAGACAAUUUGAAAUCCAUAGCCCAUGAAAAGUUGUCUGCUUGUUAAUAUCAUCAUGCGCCGCCAAUUCUGAACAACAUCAAUGAUAAAAUACUCCCCGAAAAUAAGAUUUUGUUGGUCUAAAUUCUAAAAAUGCGGCGGUUACUGUUGAGUUUUAAUACGUAUGCAAGCAUAACUCCAACUGAUAAAUCACACUGUGGACAGAGCUCCAGCCUCGAAAUUCGAUUACUUUAAGAAAUUCCAAAAAUGGUCGGGGGCUGAGGACACGCGCCCUCCCCAGGCGGGGCGGAUCUGGGGCGCGCAGCCGGGGGACCCGCGGUGGCCCGGGCCGCGCCUCUUUCCCCGUCCCCGAGUCCGCCGCUGCCGCCCAGAAUCGGGACUGCGGGGGCAGGGAGCCCGGCCGAGCGGAGCUGCCCUCCAAUGCCCGCUCCUGCCCGCCGGCCCGGGUGCUCACGCUUGGGGACGCGAUGCGGCCUGGGCGGCGCGAGGAGAGAGGCGCGCGGUGAGCUGCAGGCCCGGCCGCCUCCGCGGACCGGGCCUCCGAGACCCAACGCCAAACAGGGCACAAAUCGAAACCAAAUGGCCCGCUCGGGUGAUGGAGCUGGCUCCGGAGAGAAAUGGAAACCCGCCUACCCGCCCCUGCCACCUCCGGCACCCGGUGGCAGCUUUAGGGGGCUGGAUCUCCGGUCGGGAGGAGGGACAAAGCGGGAGGGCGGGCUAGGGUGGAGAGCAGCGCUUGGUGGCCCCGGCCUCGCCACAGCACCCCUUCUACCCUGCUCGUCCUUCUGCACCUCCUCUCUCCCUGCUUGUGCUUGGAGCGAAGCAGGAGUGUUUACUCUUGCCCUUGCCUUGACUCCCUUUUCUUGCCCAGGAUGUGAGCCUGGAGAGAAGUGUGUCUCUGAAGCUAAAGGGUUUUGCAAAGGGGGUUAUGAUCCAUUUAGAGUUGGCCUUCUUUCUCAGAGACACAAAUGCCCCUGUCCCAAAGUUCUUGGAGAAAUUUGUUUUAAACUGGGGCAGAGGAUCCCCAAGCUCUCUGUUGUAUGGAGGAGAAAGGUGUUAAAAAAAUUAAAAAAAGACCCACUAGGGAUGUCAAAUGGAUACAUCACUGAUUGAUUUCAAAUUAGAUUUCCAGGAUAACACAUCCAAGCAUUUGAUGAUUUUGUUUCAAUGGCACCCGGUGUAACCAUUCAAAUGCCUAAUAAAUAUUGUUUGAUUUGUUGGACUUUUGUUGGGCCCAAGCUUCAGCUAUCCCCACUCCCACCUGCAUAGUCCAGGUGUAGUAGGGCCCAGGAUGUGGCUGACAGCCCAGGAAGCAUUACUCCACCUCCAUGCUGUGGAAUUAAUUUGAAUCCUGAAAUAAUGGAUUGGAUAUUACUGGAGGGAGUAAAGUUGUGGAGAGAAAUUCAGCAGCACCUCACCAUGCCAUGAGCAAACAUUAUCAAUCCGGCCAGGCAGCCAUGCUGGGAUCAGAAACAGAAAAAUGUUUAUUUUAUGAAUGUUAUAAGCACUGAGCUGAUUCUCAGGUAAACAGAGAUCUGAUCUGAGAAAGCACAGCGAAAACACUCCUGUUAACAAAAUUAGUCAUCCCCUGAAAUGGAAAAGUUUUUCUACGUAUUGGUCGUUAUAGUGCAAGGCCAAAGGCUAUGGAUUUCAAGGAAAUGCUAACCACAUCCAGUGGUCUUUUUUGACCUGCCUUUCACAUUCUCUGUCCCCAUCUAACCUUCACAUCUUCAUCCCUGGUGAGUUCAAGGCACUUUCAGCUGGAGUAUGAUGGCUGAACAUCCUCAGGCCAAGAAGGCAAAGGGAGAGAAGCCUCUGGAGGUUUGGAAGGACAGACUCGCCGGAAGUCAGAGCCAGAGGAGGGUUUAGAGAGGAAUCUUGACCCCCCUCUUCCUCCUUCGCAGCACAGGGAGUGAGAGGAGAUGCUGUUUGACCCCUGUUGCCUCAGAGGAGGCCAAACUGCACUGAUUUCCACUUAAGCAUGUCAAGGAGGUGAACACUCAGGGAGGUGCCUUACCCUGUGUAUUAAACUAAAAGCCUGGGGAUGUGGAAGGAGGAAUUUCUGAGGUUUAUAGUGGAAAGUAAGGAGUGGUUGGGGGAGGGAGAGUAAAGUGGGUGAAACAAUAUAGUCUGGCUCCUGGAAACUACCAGAUGACCUUAGAGUUACUUCAGGCAAGCAGUGUUCUAGUGUGAUCUGACCACCUCUCUGGGGGCUGGGUCGCAGGGACUAGCAGGCGCUGAUUGUCAGUUCAAGAGAGUUAGUGUGGCUCUUUCUCUGGAGACUCUGGGAAGCUGGGAAAGAGGGUUCCAGGUGGCUUAGUGGCUCAGAUACCUUAAGGUGGGCCCUUAGAGACCCUCUAGUCCUAAUGCAUGUUUUAACAGAUAAGGAAACCAAAUCCUUGGAGGCAGAAGUGAGUUGCUUGUUAAAGGAUAAUUUUCAAAAAGGUGAAAUGGUGUCUCUCAUACAGAUGCUAAAUGAAAAUAUUUCAUAGAUUUUAUUGAGCUUAUUCAUUAAUGAGGAAAGCAGUAAGAUUUAAAACCAGCCCAAAGAGCAUUUGAGAAGCUAGGUAUGUAUAAACAAUUUAAUGGCUUGAUGGGUUAUAAGCUAUACAAAAACUAGUUUAUGUUUAUCAGGAUCAUAAACUAUAAACUUUGAGGCUAUUGGUUCCACUGGGAAGAAAUUAUUUGCAUCUCUACUGAGCAAAAUUUUCCAAAUGAGCUUUUGCCUUAUAGUGAACUAGAAUGGUCCUGUAAACAGAAAGUCAAGUCUGGUACUGAAAGAAUAUCCAAAAAUCUCUUUUACCUAUUUCCAAGUUUCAGAUGAUCUUUGGACUUUGUAACCAGUCCAAGAUCACACUGUUAGCUGCUAGCAGACAUAGGAUGAUAGUUGAAGUCUCAUUAUGCCCAACUCGAUAUUUUUGUCUUUGCCACAGAAUCCAGAAAGACAAAGAUGUGCAAGAGCCAAAUUGUCGAUCAGAGAAAGGACUGCUUAGAGAAGUGGUGUAUUCCCUACUCCCAAUCUGCCAGCCCAUCCACCCCCUUAAGGGGCUGCUUAUGCAAACAUUGACCUGUGAGGAAGCUCAAACUGGGUCUUUGUUCCCACAUUCCCCAAACCCAAGGCAUGGUCUCAAUACCCUCCUUCUUCCCUCCAGCAGGGUUCCUUAAGCGUCUCAUCCCCACCCACCCACCCACACUCAAUCCUCCUACUGGACUAUCUCUAGCUCCUUUUCUGCAUAUUCUCUGGUGGAACCUUCAUUAGAAUUGUGCUAGAUGACAGAGGCUAGAUGACACCUUGGCUGAGGUAACUAAAGAGAUUUAAAUACUGAAUGUGCUCAGUUGGCAUAGGUAUCCAAUAAGGUCCUUCCAGUUCUUAAAUGCAAGGAUUCUAUAAUAGUUUAUCCCCCAAAAUGGGAGUGAGAAUUUGCAUAUAGGACCUGGAAAGCCUCAGGUGGCUUUGCAAAGCUGGCAUUGAUUUUUCAGCUUUAGGAAAACUCUAACUUCCUGGCUUUUCAUGAGAGUGACUACAAUUGGCCCUCGGUAUUCGUGGGUUCUGCAUCUGUGGAUUCAACUAACCCCAAAUCGAAAGGCCUACAAUGGCUCUGUCUGUACUGAAGAUGUACAAACGUUUUUUUCUUGUCAUUAUUCCCUAAACAACACAGGAUAACAACUAUUUACAUAGCAUUUACAUUGCGUUAGGUAUUAUAAGUAAUCUAGAGAUGAUCUAAAGUACAUGGGAGGAUGUGCAUAGGUUAUAUGCAAAUGCUAUGCCAUUUUCUGUGAAAGACUGGAGCAUCCACAGAUUUGGUGUCUGUGGGGGUGCUGGAACCAAUCUCCCAUGGAUACCGAGGGACAACUGUACUAAUGUUCUUCCUUCUGAGAGGUCUCUGAGGAUGACUGAGUUACUAUUUGCCAAGAGAUUUGAGAACCUAAGGCAAGUGACACUGAGCUGCUCACCAACUAUGACAAGGUAUCUGCAUAAACACCCAUCCUUCUGUUCUUGCCAGAUCUUUGUGGGUGGCAGAGUUUGGAAUAAUUUCAUUACCAAAGUCCAUCAGACUUGCCAGUGUCUCUCUAAGACUGCCUUUUUCAUAAUCAUUGUGUUUGUUUAUCUGAAAUGGAAUUCAUAUAGAUAAGGAGUGGGGAUAGUGCAAGGGUAGCUAUUAACCAUUCAAAAGACAACACAAUGGGAAUGAAUCAUCUACCCCCACGCCCUGAUUCUGAGGCUUGUUUUUGCAUUGUUUUUAUCCUCUAAAUAAAAAGAAGGGGAAAAUUCUAAGAAAGAUAAACUCCUUAUGGCUAGUAAAGUUGAGAACCAUCAUGAUAGAAUGUUUAGACCACAAGUCUGGGAUGGAAGUGGGAACAAUUCAGAAAUGCUGUGCCAAAUUCUCGUUUUGUUCUUUGGCUUGCAGUAUGUUAGGACCAAGGGUAUUUGAAAGAUCAGCAUUUUAUAGGCUGAGAAAUGAAGACCUAGAGAAGGAAUAUGAUGAAUACAUGAAAAGCAAUAAGAAAAGUGUGUGUGUGCAUGUAUAUACAUACAUACAUAUGUAUAUAUGUUGAGGUAUAUGAGGAAGCCAUUUGGUUUAAAACUAAUUUGGCCUGACCUGUUUUUAUCCAGAAAGGCCUAAUGUGGCCUGCCAAGCAUGCCUUGUGUCUCUGCUUUAAACAUUUACAAAGCAAAGAAUGAUGCCUUUAAAGAUACGGAUGAGUGCCUCCCCCCAUAUAAGCGUUUCUUUAAAGAUACGCGUUUCUUCCCAGAAACUAAUGGUCAAACUGACCCAUUGUGCAGAUGUUGUGACCACUGAUCUGCUGUGUUAGCAAAACAUCUUGUGACUGUAGUAAAAAGAGAGAUUCCUAUCAUGUUUGAUGUAUGUUCUUGUUCCAACACGUUAUAUAACCACACUGUACACCUUGCUUCUUCAGAAUGACUCCUUCCUUGGUGAAGGUGCUCUCUCGUGCUAUAUAGUCCUCAGACUGACUCAUAUAAUAAAUGCAUCCUAAUUUUGAUUUAUAGAUUGAUUAUUAACUAUUUGCGUUGAUGUUUCUGGCGUAGUCACAGCAGGAUUUCACAGUAACCCAAUGGAGACCACCUCGAAUCUACAUUGAACCAGCGUUCAGUACCAAUGAACACCCCCCAACCCCAGCACAGCUUCUCUGCAUUCUUCAAGCACCCCAGCUCAAGAAAUUGCCAUGGAAGAAGAGGAACAAAUGUGACAACAAAAAGGGGAAAUUUUUGAUACCACCAUGCAGAUGUGGCUCAGGCCCGAUAAAAAUAGUGCCUAUUGGAUGACAAUUGCUACUGCUCCCGCAUAUUCAUCAAUUAACCCAUUGGGAACCUGAAAUGAGGAUUUUAUAGGGAAAACAAUACUUUCAGAAACUUUCUCCCACAGUAGCUCAUAAAGCCUAUGCUCAUUGUGCUAUACGCCCAAAGGAUAAUCCAGGAAAACCACUCAUGGGUCACAAGGCCACUUUCCCCUUCCCAAGGGACCCUUUGAGGUAUGGCAGUCGGACUUUGUUCAAAUGCCACCCUCUCAAGGGUAUAAGUAUAUCUUAGUAGUGAUCUGUAUGUUCUUGCGUUGGGUUGGGGCCUUUCCUUGUAGAAGGGCAAUGGCUUUAGCAGUAGGUAAAUUAUUAUUGGAAUGGACAACUUCUGUUUGGGGAAUUCCUACUAGAUUACACAGUGACCAGGGAACUGAUUUCACUGGACAAAUAAUCAAAUCUAUUUGUAAUAUUUGGUCAAUAAUGCAACAUUUUAACUAAUGGCACAAUUCAAACUCAAUUGGCAAAGCUUUCAGAAGCAUUUAAUCUCUCAUGGCCAAAAGCUCUUCCACUAGUGCUCCGCAAUUGUACACCUGUUGGUAAACAUUUGCUGUCUCCCUUUGAAAUAAUAAUAGGACAACUUAUGCAAUUAGAUGAGGGACUAUAUGAACCAACUUUGCUCAAGGGAGAUAUAUUACAUUAUUGUUAGGAUCUCACUGAGACACUUAAAAGAAAUGAAAUGUUGGUAGCUGAUUCCUUUCACAGUGAGCUCCUGAGAGAUGAAGACCUUAAGGAUCAUGGACUACAAUCUGGAGAUUUUGUUUAUUGGAAAACACACCAGAAAAAGACUCUUUAUGGCCCCAUUGGAAAGGACCAUCCUAGGAUGAGAAGAAGAUAGAAUCUGUUACAGACAUCUGUCCCAAGACUCUGGACCAGGCCUGUAUUCCCAACCUUGUAUGUCCUCAUUUAAAUCCUUGUAAUGCUUAAACUGUAUACCCAUUUUAUAAUUGCUACAAUAAUUGCUCUUGGUGAGUGAGUUCUUGGACCACAUCUGUUCUAUAAUUAUAAACAAUGUAAUUAUAAAAAGUCAUGUUAAAGCACAUGUGCGAUGUACAACAAUCUAAAAUUAAUUGAAAAAUUAUGUAACCUAUGAAAUACUUUCUCUGUUAAUAUAUGUUUCUAUGCUUGUCCACAAUAUCCAAUUGUUUUCCCCUAAUGUGGAUAACUGGGCAAAUCAAUGAAAGAAAAGCCUAGCACCAAGGGACAUGAUGGACCCAG